GGCAGGGGGAGGGCUGCUCCCAGCCGUAGGGAAGGGCACCUGGGGGCUCUUCGAGGAGGGGCUAAUAAAUACAGUCAGCACGGUGACCUCUCUUGGCUGUUUGCUCUCCAGCAUGAAGUUUUAGUACCAAAGCAAGGCAACCUGAGGCAAAACCUAGGGUUUGAAAGCAACGAGUAGGAGAGUUGGGGCUCUGCAUACCAGAAGAGGAGUUUCACUGCAUGUGCCCCAGGACAAAGGGUGAUCCCCGUGGCUGCCAGAGCAGCACCUUCCUCAAACAUCCUCCUCCCAUCUGCUGAAAUGAAUGCCUGACCCCGGGGAUGUCUCUGAGAAGCAAAGCUGGAUGGUGCGGUAACAGAAGAGAGCAUGGAAACCCAUGUGUAACACCAGAAAAUGAUGACGUGCCACGAUGACACCGGUGUCUUCUGCGGGUCUCUGUGCACUCUAGGAAUCUGCGUUCUCCAGGCUUAAAAUGAAACCUGUAGUUCUGAAAGGAAUUGCAGAUUCAGACUGAUACCCUGGUGUGGUGCUGCCAAAGCGAGCCAGAUGCAGGGCCCUUUUUGUUGGAUAAAUAUGUCUGGAAGCGACUGAGCGCGGGCGGGAUGAGAGAACUUCUGCUUAGCAAAAUAUUUGAAUUAGAGAGGCAGUUCAGUAAUUGCAUUUUUAACUAUAUUAAAGCCUGUUCCUUGAAACCUGA